CAGUAGCCACGGUAACACGGAGGGUGCAAGCGUUACUCGGAAUUACUGGGCGUAAAGCGUGCGUAGGUGGUGGUUUAAGUCCGUUGUGAAAGCCCUGGGCUCAACCUGGGAAUUGCAGUGGAUACUGGGUCACUAGAGUGUGGUAGAGGAUAGUGGAAUUUCCGGUGUAGCAGUGAAAUGCGUAGAGAUCGGAAGGAACAUCUGUGGCGAAGGCGACUAUCUGGGCCAACACUGACACUGAGGCACGAAAGCGUGGGGAGCAAACAGGAUUAGAUACCCCCGUAGUCCCUGUCUCUUAUAC
rnacentral:rRNA from 1 species